UACGUAGGGUCCGAGCGUUGUCCGGAAUUACUGGGCGUAAAGAGCUCGUAGGUGGUUUGUCGCGUUGUUCGUGAAAGCUCACAGCUCAACUGUGGGCGUGCGGGCGAUACGGGCAGACUGGAGUACUGCAGGGGAGACUGGAAUUCCUGGUGUAGCGGUGAAAUGCGCAGAUAUCAGGAAGAACACCCGUGGCGAAGGCGGCUCUCUGGGACGGUACUGACACUGAGACGCGAAAGCGUGGGGAGCGAACAGG
rnacentral:rRNA from 1 species